rnacentral:rRNA from 1 species
UGGCGGACGGGUGAGUAACACGUGGAUAACGUUCCUUUUGGUCCGGAAUAACCUGCCGAAAGGCGGGCUAAUACCGGAUAAGUUUCUUUGUGAUUCGUCAUGGAGAAAGAAAGCAGGGCAACUUGCGCCGAUUGAUCGGUCCGCGUCCCAUCAGCUAGUUGGUGUGGUAACGGCUCACCAAGGCUACGACGGGUAGCUGGUCUGAGAGGAUGAUCAGCCACACUGGGACUGAGACACGGCCCAGACUCCUACGGGAGGCAGCAGUGGGGAAUAUUGGUCAAUGGGCGAAAGCCUGAACCAGCAAUGCCGCGUGAGUGAUGAAGGCCUUCGGGUUGUAAAGCUCUGUCGGGAGGGACGAAAAAGGGCGGGUAACGCCGCCACUUGACGGUACCUCCAAAGGAAGCACCGGCUAACUCUGUGCCAGCAGCCGCGGUAAU